ACACAGUUGGUCAGAAUAGUGCACAUGAUAAGCAUGCUGAAUAAAGAAUGUACCAAAAUCUUAAUAGCUAUUUUCCUAAGAGGAUUGAAGGGC